rnacentral:rRNA from 1 species
CUGGCUCAGGAUGAACGCUAGCUACAGGCUUAACACAUGCAAGUCGAGGGGCAGCAUGGAGUUGCUGCAAACUCUGAUGGCGACCGGCGGCACGGGUGAGUAACGCGUAUCCAACCUUCCCUAUAGUAGAGGAUAGCCCGGCGAAAGUCGGAUUAAUACUCUAUGUUUUCCGUCGCAGACAUCUAAGAUGGAACAAAGGCUUGCCGCUAUAGGAUGGGGAUGCGUCUGAUUAGGUAGUCGGCGGGGUAACGGCCCACCGAGCCAUCGAUCAGUAGGGGUUCUGAGAGGAAGGUCCCCCACAUUGGAACUGAGACACGGUCCAAACUCCUACGGGAGGCAGCAGUGAGGAAUAUUGGUCAAUGGGCGAGAGCCUGAACCAGCCAAGUAGCGUGCCAGGAUGACGGCCCUAUGGGUUGUAAACUGCUUUUAUGCGGGGAUAAAGUUCACUACGUGUAGUGUUUUGUAGGUACCGCAUGAAUAAGGACCGGCUAAUUCCGUGCCAGCCGCAGC